ensembl:processed_transcript
GUCAUUAAAAAAAGAGGAAGAAGAAGAGACUGCAGUAGGGAGCGAGACGCGCCUGGGCAGCUGAUUCUGCCUCCCGUGACUGUCUCUAUUGUAGUCUACUUCACAGGCCAAUACCUCUCAUAACUAUCAUGGGCAGAUGUUGUACGGAUAUCUGGAUUAUAUUGGAGAAUAAACCCCGAAUUCUGUGAAGACGCAUGAAAUAAAAUAGUCAUGGAUUUCCCGGGGCACUUUGAGCAGAUUUUCCAGCAGCUGAACUUCCAGCGGCUGCAUGGACAGCUGUGUGACUGCGUGAUCAUGGUUGGCAGCCGUCAUUUCAAGGCCCACCGCGCUGUGCUGUCUGCCUGCAGUACGCAUUUCCGAGCCCUGUUUACUGCGGCUGAGGGAGAUGCCAGCACAAGAAUGAUCCACCUGGACUCUGAGGUGGUGACCGCUGAAGCGUUUGCUGCUCUCAUGGAUAUGAUGUACACAUCCACACUGAUGCUGGGAGAGAGUAACGUGAUGGAUGUAUUGUUGGCUGCUUCUCAUCUGCAUCUAAAUGCUGUGGUGAAAGCCUGUAAGCACUACCUGACAACGCGCACUUUACCCAUGUCUCCACCUGGAGAUCGUGGCAGUCAACAUCACACUGAGCAACAGCAAGCGGCGGCGGCUGCCAACUCUCAUCUUCAGCGAUCAUUUCUGCUCCAGCAGCUCGGCUUGAGCUUGGUUAGUUCUGCCUUGAGUGGGGCUGAAGAUGGGGGAACGGGGACGCAGCGGAGAACGGGUGCGGUGUGCGGAAAUGGAUUGGGGGAUCAGCAUGGUUCUCACCCAACACGCCGUUUCUUAAAACGCAAGCAGCCCUUACCCCUGAUUACUUCAGAAAGGGGAAGGCCACGGCUUUCCUCACAGGUGGAGGGCAUCGUGGGGGAGUCAGGGGGCCGAGAUGGAGGAGAGGAGCUUCUGUCUCCAGAUUCACACAGUAAAAUGGUGGACGAAGUGGUCACUGGCGUUAUUCCCAUGGAUGAUGGAGGUUUACUGGAGCAGGAUGAAUAUCGAAGGGGACUGACCCAUGAGGACAUGCAGCUCCCGAGCCAGUCAGAUGGAGGAAGGGGAACAGGAGCAGAAAAAGCAUUGCUGCUGCCGCGAAAAGAGGAGUACCCAGAUGCAGGUCGUCACCAUGAUGAGGGGAUGAAGAUAAAGAAUGGAGAUGAGGAGGAAGAGCAACAGCACAUGCAGGUCGUGGUGAAGAGCGAGCCACUGAGUUCACCCGAGGCGGUGGAUGAGACUAGCGAUGUUACCUCACAGGCAGAAGGCAGUGAUCAGGUGGAGCCAGUUGGAGAAAAACUGGAGCUCAGUCCAGAGUGCAGUGAGCGCAGCUACUCUGAUCCGCAGCCCAGCUCUGAGCUGCUGAUCAAAGGAAACAAGGGAUUAGGAGCUGCAGAAGACAGAAGAGGAGAGACGCUAUCCUGCAGUGAAGCUCUUGAGUCCUCCUCUGGAUUACACAUCACCAGUUUCCUCAGCACUAAGGCCUUUAUUGGCAGAGGGGUGUCUUCAAACCAUGCCAGUAGUGUUGACAGUGUUCCCAACACCACAACUGGAGAAUUUCAAGCAGACCACGAUUCCGCUCGCUUCUUCCUCCCGAAUGAUUCCAUCAACGCUGCAUCUUCCUCUCUGCACCUCCUUUCAGGAGAGACCCAGGUCUGCUCUGACAUGCAGCCAGAGUCCCUUCUCAUGCGCCCGCUGCAUGAUGGAAUAGCAACUUCCUCCUCAUUAGGGACGUCCCGUGGUGGAUCGGUAGAUCAGCUUGCUCUUGAGUUUCAGCGCAACAUUUUGGGAUUACAAACAUUCCCUCAUUCGUCCAGAGGUGGAGGUGGUGGUGGAGGGUGCCAAUCAUACCGGCGCAUCGCUCCUAAAGCUCAUCCAGGAGGGGCUUCAAUGCUAAUGGACGGCCCUCAGCAACAUGACGCUGCUUCCUCGUCCUCUUCCUCCACAAUGCUACUCAAUGGAGUCAACUUUGAGAAUUCUGUCCCCAUAGUUCAAAACAGUGGCAACUCCAACUUGAACCCUCUUCCCCAGUUGACCAGAGCCUCAGCAGAUGUCCUGAGUAAGUGUAAAAAGGCGCUUUCUGAGCACAACGUGUUAGUGGUGGAAGGUGCCAGAAAGUACGCCUGCAAGAUCUGCUGUAAGACCUUCCUCACUCUGACGGACUGCAAGAAACACAUCCGGGUUCACACCGGCGAGCGUCCGUAUGCCUGCCUGAAGUGUGGCAAGCGCUUUAGUCAGUCCAGUCACCUGUACAAGCACUCCAAAACAACCUGCUUACGGUGGCAGAACAGUGAUAUGUCUAAUGCCAUGCUCUAA